UCGAGCGGCAGCGACAACAUUGACCCUUCGGGUGAUUUGUUGGGCGGCGAGCGGCGGACGGGUGAGUAAUGCCUGGGAAUAUGCCCUGAUGUGGGGGAUAACCAUUGGAAACGAUGGCUAAUACCGCAUAAUCUCUUCGGAGCAAAGAGGGGGACCUUCGGGCCUCUCGCGUCAGGAUUAGCCCAGGUGAGAUUAGCUUGUUGGUGAGGUAAGAGCUCACCAAGGCAACGAUCUCUAGCUGGUCUGAGAGGAUGAUCAGCCACACUGGAACUGAGACACGGUCCAGACUCCUACGGGAGGCAGCAGUGGGGAAUAUUGCACAAUGGGGGAAACCCUGAUGCAGCCAUGCCGCGUGUAUGAAGAAGGCCUUCGGGUUGUAAAGUACUUUCAGUUGUGAGGAAGGCGUUGUCGUUAAUAGCGGCAGUGUUUGACGUUAGCAACAGAAGAAGCACCGGCUAACUCCGUGCCAGCAGCCGCGGUAAUACGGAGGGUGCGAGCGUUAAUCGGAAUUACUGGGCGUAAAGCGCAUGCAGGCGGCUUGUUAAGCCAGAUGUGAAAGCCCGGGGCUCAACCUCGGAAUAGCAUUUGGAACUGGCAGGCUAGAGUCUUGUAGAGGGGGGUAGAAUUUCAGGUGUAGCGGUGAAAUGCGUAGAGAUCUGAAGGAAUACCGGUGGCGAAGGCGGCCCCCUGGACAAAGACUGACGCUCAGAUGCGAAAUCGUGGGGAGCAAAA
rnacentral:rRNA from 1 species